CUCAUUUACACUCACACUCUCUCUCUCUCUCUCUCUCUCUCUCUCUCUCUCUCAUCAGGUAGAGGUGUCUCUGGCGGGAGGCAGCGGGCCUGGUCUAGCGUGACUGACAGGAGGGGCUCCAGACACUGGAAGGUUCUCCAACACUGUAGACUCCUCCACUGUCAGAAACAAAUCGGUGCAUCAUGGUCCUCCACAUUCCCUGGCAACUGCAGGUAAACAUUUUGUUAGGUAAUGGUUAUGGUUCCCAGUCUGUGUGGUUUUUAGUGUGUGCAGAAUUUACUCAAUAGGCUAAAUACUAAUAAUUCAAGCAAUUCAUGUUUAAUUUGCAAAGUGAAAUACAGAACAUUCUGUUCAUCAGAUGUGAAAUACAGUUUUUUUUUUCAGCAACUCUAACACAGA
rnacentral:lncRNA from 1 species